UGAAGAGUUUGAUCAUGGCUCAGAUUGAACGCUGGCGGCAGGCCUAACACAUGCAAGUCGAACGGUAACAGGAAGCAGCUUGCUGCUUCGCUGACGAGUGGCGGACGGGUGAGUAAUGUCUGGGAAACUGCCUGAUGGAGGGGGAUAACUACUGGAAACGGUGGCUAAUACCGCAUAACGUCGCAAGACCAAAGAGGGGGACCUUCGGGCCUCUUGCCAUCAGAUGUGCCCAGAUGGGAUUAGCUUGUUGGUGAGGUAACGGCUCACCAAGGCGACGAUCCCUAGCUGGUCUGAGAGGAUGACCAGCCACACUGGAACUGAGACACGGUCCAGACUCCUACGGGAGGCAGCAGUGGGGAAUAUUGCACAAUGGGCGCAAGCCUGAUGCAGCCAUGCCGCGUGUAUGAAGAAGGCCUUCGGGUUGUAAAGUACUUUCAGCGGGGAGGAAGGUGUUGUGGUUAAUAACCGCAGCAAUUGACGUUACCCGCAGAAGAAGCACCGGCUAACUCCGUGCCAGCAGCCGCGGUAAUACGGAGGGUGCAAGCGUUAAUCGGAAUUACUGGGCGUAAAGCGCACGCAGGCGGUCUGUCAAGUCGGAUGUGAAAUCCCCGGGCUCAACCUGGGAACUGCAUUCGAAACUGGCAGGCUUGAGUCUUGUAGAGGGGGGUAGAAUUCCAGGUGUAGCGGUGAAAUGCGUAGAGAUCUGGAGGAAUACCGGUGGCGAAGGCGGCCCCCUGGACAAAGACUGACGCUCAGGUGCGAAAGCGUGGGGAGCAAACAGGAUUAGAUACCCUGGUAGUCCACGCCGUAAACGAUGUCUACUUGGAGGUUGUGCCCUUGAGGCGUGGCUUCCGGAGCUAACGCGUUAAGUAGACCGCCUGGGGAGUACGGCCGCAAGGUUAAAACUCAAAUGAAUUGACGGGGGCCCGCACAAGCGGUGGAGCAUGUGGUUUAAUUCGAUGCAACGCGAAGAACCUUACCUGGUCUUGACAUCCACAGAACUUUCCAGAGAUGGAUUGGUGCCUUCGGGAACUGUGAGACAGGUGCUGCAUGGCUGUCGUCAGCUCGUGUUGUGAAAUGUUGGGUUAAGUCCCGCAACGAGCGCAACCCUUAUCCUUUGUUGCCAGCGAUUAGGUCGGGAACUCAAAGGAGACUGCCAGUGAUAA
rnacentral:rRNA from 1 species